GGCAAGGCUGCAACAGACAACUUGGUGGGAACUCUCCCCUUCCCUCCCCCCAAAAGACGUACUAUUUUUCUCAGGGUGCGUCCAUUGAUAGCGGAGAGCGAGAGCUGACACUCCCGUCCUGCAUUGGCUGCCCAGCUAACCCUUUCUCACGCACUGCAGACAGAAAUGGAUGCUGGCAGACAGAUGUGCAAGGUGCCGGAGACGCAACUUCAGG